CUGCUGCCUUCCGUAGGAGUUUGGGCCGUGUCUCAGUCCCAAUGUGGCCGUCCACCCUCUCAGGCCGGCUACUGAUCGUCGCCUUGGUGGGCCGUUACCCCGCCAACAAGCUAAUCAGACGCGGGUCCAUCUUACACCACCGGAGUUUUUCACACAAAUCCAUGCGGCUUCGUGCGCUUAUGCGGUAUUAGCACCUAUUUCUAAGUGUUAUCCCCCAGUGUAAGGCAGGUUACCCACGCGUUACUCACCCGUCGCCACUAAGAUUUUA
rnacentral:rRNA from 1 species